AUGAACGCUGGCGGCGUGCCUAAUACAUGCAAGUCGAGCGAACAGACGAGGAGCUUGCUCCUCUGACGUUAGCGGCGGACGGGUGAGUAACACGUGGAUAACCUACCUAUAAGACUGGGAUAACUUCGGGAAACCGGAGCUAAUACCGGAUAAUAUAUUGAACCGCAUGGUUCAAUAGUGAAAGACGGUUUUGCUGUCACUUAUAGAUGGAUCCGCGCCGCAUUAGCUAGUUGGUAAGGUAACGGCUUACCAAGGCAACGAUGCGUAGCCGACCUGAGAGGGUGAUCGGCCACACUGGAACUGAGACACGGUCCAGACUCCUACGGGAGGCAGCAGUAGGGAAUCUUCCGCAAUGGGCGAAAGCCUGACGGAGCAACGCCGCGUGAGUGAUGAAGGUCUUCGGAUCGUAAAACUCCGUUAUUAGGGAAGAACAAAUGUGUAAGUAACUAUGCACGCCUUGACGGUACCUAAUCAGAAAGCCACGGCUAACUACGUG
rnacentral:rRNA from 1 species